GCGUGGAGACAGGUGGUGCAUGGCUGUCGUCAGCUCGUGUCGUGAGAUGUUGGGUUAAGUCCCGCAACGAGCGCAACCCUCACCCCUAGUUGCCACCGGGUAAAGCCGAGCACUCGAGGGGAACUGCCAGCGUCAAGCUGGAGGAAGGCGGGGAUGACGUCAAGUCAUCAUGCCCCUUACGUCCUGGGCUACACACGUGCUACAAUGGCCAGUACAAAGGGAUGCGAGACCGCGAGGUGGAGCUAAUCCCAAAAAGCUGGUCUAAGUUCAGAUUGCAGUCUGCAACUCGACUGCAUGAAGGAGGAAUCGCUAGUAAUCGCGCAUCAGCCCGGCGCGGUGAAUACGUUCCCGGGCCUUGUACACACCGCCCGUCACACCACGAAAGCUUACUGUACUCGAAGUCGCUGAG
rnacentral:rRNA from 1 species